rnacentral:rRNA from 1 species
UUGAACGCUGGCGGCAGGCCUAACACAUGCAAGUCGAACGGUAACAGGAAACAGCUUGCUGUUUCGCUGACGAGUGGCGGACGGGUGAGUAAUGUCUGGGAAACUGCCUGAUGGAGGGGGAUAACUACUGGAAACGGUAGCUAAUACCGCAUAACGUCGCAAGACCAAAGAGGGGGACCUUCGGGCCUCUUGCCAUCGGAUGUGCCCAGAUGGGAUUAGCUUGUUGGUGGGGUAACGGCUCACCAAGGCGACGAUCCCUAGCUGGUCUGAGAGGAUGACCAGCCACACUGGAACUGAGACACGGUCCAGACUCCUACGGGAGGCAGCAGUGGGGAAUAUUGCACAAUGGGCGCAAGCCUGAUGCAGCCAUGCCGCGUGUAUGAAGAAGGCCUUCGGGUUGUAAAGUACUUUCAGCGGGGAGGAAGGGAGUAAAGUUAAUACCUUUGCUCAUUGACGUUACCCGCAGAAGAAGCACCGGCUAACUCCGUGCCAGCAGCCGCGGUAAUACGGAGGGUGCAAGCGUUAAUCGGAAUUACUGGGCGUAAAGCGCACGCAGGCGGUUUGUUAAGUCAGAUGUGAAAUCCCCGGGCUCAACCUGGGAACUGCAUCUGAUACUGGCAAGCUUGAGUCUCGUAGAGGGGGGUAGAAUUCCAGGUGUAGCGGUGAAAUGCGUAGAGAUCUGGAGGAAUACCGGUGGCGAAGGCGGCCCCCUGGACGAAGACUGACGCUCAGGUGCGAAAGCGUGGGGAGCAAACAGGAUUAGAUACCCUGGUAGUCCACGCCGUAAACGAUGUCGACUUGGAGGUUGUGCCCUUGAGGCGUAGCUUCCGGAGCUAACGCGUUAAGUCGACCGCCUGGGGAGUACGGCCGCAAGGUUAAAACUCAAAUGAAUUGACGGGGGCCCGCACAAGCGGUGGAGCAUGUGGUUUAAUUCGAUGCAACGCGAAGAACCUUACCUGGUCUUGACAUCCACGGAAGUUUUCAGAGAUGAGAAUGUGCCUUCGGGAACCGUGAGACAGGUGCUGCAUGGCUGUCGUCAGCUCGUGUUGUGAAAUGUUGGGUUAAGUCCCGCAACGAGCGCAACCCUUAUCCUUUGUUGCCAGCGGUCCGGCCGGGAACUCAAAGGAGACUGCCAGUGAUAAACUGGAGGAAGGUGGGGAUGACGUCAAGUCAUCAUGGCCCUUACGACCAGGGCUACACACGUGCUACAAUGGCGCAUACAAAGAGAAGCGACCUCGCGAGAGCAAGCGGACCUCAUAAAGUGCGUCGUAGUCCGGAUUGGAGUCUGCAACUCGACUCCAUGAAGUCGGAAUCGCUAGUAAUCGUGGAUCAGAAUGCCACGGUGAAUACGUUCCCGGGCCUUGUACACACCGCCCGUCACACCAUGGGAGUGGGUUGCAAAAGAAGUAGGUAGCUUAACCUUCGGGAGGGCGCUUACCACUUUGUGAUUCAUGACUGGGGUG